GCCGUUACGGUAACUCAAAAGGAAAAAACAAUAAUUAAUAUAAAGGAAGAUACACUUUACAGCGUAAAAACGUGUGCACCCAUUUAAACUAUGUAAAGUUAGUGAAAGUAAUUAAACAAAUAAAUUUAAAUGCUUAACGUAAACUUAAUGUGCAAAUGCGCUGUGGCUGAUAACAAAACCUUUAGAAGCUAAAGUUGUGAGGGGUGUGUACCAUAUUUUCCAUUACUGCGUGGCUGUGGACAUCACACUUGCACAAGGGUCAAAACUCAUCCUACGAGCAUAUGAGCAAGUGUAAUUUCUUCCAUAGUACAGUGCUGAUUGUCAUAAUUUCAGCUUGUCAUUAAGGAGUCCUGAAGACAGAUCAGUUGAGAACCACUGAUGCAGAGCACUAAGGAGGUUAGCUGGCAUAUGACAUUGCAGGACAAGAACUGUCAUCUUAACGGGAAGAUAACCUGCUAACAGCCACAAGAAAUACAUUUUGGAAACAGUGCCAGAAGUUGACCAAUCACGAUCUUUAUUCUUCACCUUUUCAGGGUAGGUCCUGCCUGCUUUAUUUACAUGCAUGUCACACUAGUUUUCUUGUUCACUAGUUGGUUGGAGAUUUUGGUACCAGGUUCAAGUGUGGCUUGAGCCUUCUUUCAGCACAUUGGUCCUGCUGAGAGCGGUGCGAUUCCUCCAUCAGCUGCUGAAGAUCAAGCGUGAGGAGAUUCUUACAUCAUCUGUUGCAGCUGUGUGCAGACACCAUAUCACCUCCGCACGCAGUGUUGCUGUGCUGCCCAGAGCCACCCUGAUGUCGGCAGAAGACGACGUAGCCGCACCUGACUGUCCUACUAGCCGAGGACGAUUCAGGUGCGGCUACCAGUGGAGGUGUAACAUUAAACACUAGGUUGUGGUGGCGCAACAUUACUGGGACAGAAGCCAGUAACGUGGCUAGCACCAUGACAUAAGGGCUCCCUCAGGAUAAACAAGGUUGCAUCAACAACAAAAUUGACCAUCCCAAUAUUGGAGAAGUGAUCUGGGCUUCAAAGACUGUGGUUCAUCUUCUAAGACCACAAUUGUGAAGGAUGAACUCAGCAGGUGUGUCAUCAAGGAGAAGAACAAUAACAGUUAUACAAGGACACCGUGUCCUAAUUUCAUGUGUCUAUUUAUGUCUCCAGAGAACUUCAUGAGCGAUGACUGUGUUAUUAUGUGCACAACCAAAGGACUUCAAAGUAUUUCAACAGAGACUUGAACAACUGCAGCCUUGGUUACACACCCAUCAUUAUAAACUGAAACCCAAUGAGUAUUCUGGAAAUAUAACAUUUUCUGUCACCUGAUAUCUAAAGGUGGUGUCAAGUUGGUGUAAAGUUGAUUAAUUUCACACAUUAAAAAUGACUAUACCAAAUAAGAGCAGCACUAUAAUGAUUACCAGAUACAGAAAGUGCAUGCAAUAGAGCAUAUUACUAGAUUACUGUGUCAACAACAUAUUGUGUAAUUGAUGGGUUUUAUAUUGGAAAUGUGGUGAGAAAGCAGCAGUUUUCUGUGUUUGGAACUGGUAACAGGUAAUGGAAUGGGCAAGAUGUCAGUAAGCAUUCACACAAUUAUAUUCUUGUGUUUGAGAUAUAAACAUGACAAUUAACUUCAUGAAUGAUAAAGGUAGCAUUUAAUAGGUCAAAGUUGAUGAUUAUCUUAUUGAGAUGCUAUAAUUUACAUUUCACAAGCAGUAUAGACUGUUGCACACCCUCCAUUUGACAAGCAGAUGUAGCUAGACCUCGUGCAUUCAUUUGGUGUGCCUGAAAGCUAAAAAAAAAAAAAAAAACUAGAAAAUUCCCUCUGGGAAAUUCUGAAAGGGCUAAUGCCGGGGGUACCGUGUCUGUCAACAUGGGAGUUAGCACACUUUGUCUAGAUUUAGCCCAAUUAGCUUACAAUUGGCACAAUUAAGUUAUGGUUAGCACAGGUAACCCACAGUUAGCAUACUUAACUCACAUUGAGCACAGUUAGCUUACGGUUAGCAUA